UUACAGAUGGGUUUGUUUGGGAAGAAGGUUGGAUGAUUUGGAGAAGAAAGAGUGAGGAAAAGUGGGCUCCAUUAGUUAAAUUUAAAAAAAGGAAAUAAACAUAAUUUUGAAAGGCACACUUGCUGCAAGGCGAGUGUAAUACAUACAUUUUGCCAUGUCACGAUGAAGUGUCUAUUUGACUUACUUAACAUACAUUUGAAGUGUCUAACUGAUAAAGGAGUCAGUUGAGGUGUUCAACCGGUCUUUAAGGAUAAAUACAAG
rnacentral:lncRNA from 1 species